GUGCUCGCUUCGGCAGCAGAUGUACUAAAAUUGGAACGAUACAAAGAAGAUUAGCAUGGCCCCUGCACAAGGAUGACACGCAAAUUCGUGAAUUGUUCCACAUUAAA
ensembl:snRNA U6 U6 spliceosomal RNA